rnacentral:rRNA from 1 species
UACGUAGGGUGCAAGCGUUAAUCGGAAUUACUGGGCGUAAAGCGUGCGCAGGCGGUCCGUUAAGACAGAUGUGAAAUCCCCGGGCUCAACCUGGGAACUGCAUUUGUGACUGCAUGGCUGGAGUGCGGCAGAGGGGGAUGGAAUUCCGCGUGUAGCAGUGAAAUGCGUAGAUAUGCGGAGGAACACCGAUGGCGAAGGCAAUCCCCUGGACCUGUACUGACGCUCAUGCACGAAAGCGUGGGGAGCAAACAGG